GGUGGUUCUCAGGUGACGCGCCCCAGAUCAGACCCCCUCCUCUCUGGUUCUGGGUGCAUCACCUAAGAACCACC
rfam:Myotis brandtii contig281458, whole genome shotgun sequence.